UGUUUUCAUAUUGUAUUUAACAGGCAAAACUUUCUACUGCUAACACCAACGUCUUAAUGAAAUUAGGUAAUAUGCAAAUGAGAACGAAUCAUGACUGGCAAAGUGGUGAAUGUCCUCAAAUUCUUCGACGCACGCGAUUUAACAAUUUCAAACGAUAAAACUUAACGCUAUACCGCUGUUCAAUAUAAUAUAACAUAUAUGUAUUGUAUAUACACAAAUAUGAAAUUGGAAUGCUCUAAUAAUCGGGUCCGGCCGAAUACUUACAAUAAGGAAAGUAGCACCCAAAAGUACAGCCUUCAUCCGCACAUCCAAGUCCAUCGGGAAGGUAAUACCAAAGAAAUCUGCAUCGGUGAAUAUUUCGCGUGCCAAACCAGACCACUGUUUUGAAAUUUUUCCCACAGGUUCACCGGUUAAAGAAACCACCUAUAUUGAUAAUGACAAAUAUGUAUUAGAUAAAGAAUUGCAGUUUCAAAUUUGAUAUUUUACCUUAAAUUCAACAUCACCACACAUUGAAAACGUGCAAACGGGUCCCUCGAUGCGUAACACAGUAUCGCCAAUAUGAUUUUUAAUACGAAAUGAAGGCGAACAGAUGGACCAUUCUUGCUCGAUGGAGCCAAUUAUAUUGCCCGGUGGUGCGGACACUUCCAUUGUUUGUAGGCAACAGGGAAAACAACAUGCCGAACAGGCUAAUGGGCGAUACAUAUGGAUGACUUCAUUGCGGAAAUUAUCAAAAACUUUCAUAUCAAAAGGACGUGCAGGGCCACACAUAUUACGUGUGCAGCAAUCAUUAUCUUCGACAGCGUAAUAGACUUUUUGACCGAGCGCAUUUUUUAUCGAGAAUUUAUUAUUGGUUUCGAAACCGGUGAAAGCUUCGAGUAAUUCGACUUUUUGUUUAACCAAAAGCUGGUCGACCAUCGUAAGGUACUCCAAGCCGCGUGGACAAUUCGGUAUUCCGGCGGGUAUACUCAUCCAGUCGCCUAAAAAUAAAACAAUUUUGAAAUUUUUUGAUAUUCUUCAAAGACAAUUAAAUACAACGGCAAUCGUUCAUUCGGACAUAUAAGGAUCUCCAUUCAUUUAAAGAUACAUUUCCCAAAAAUGUUUGAACAAUGUUAUAUACAGUUACAAUAAAAUUAAGGAUGUUUCACAAA